GCGCUGUCCUUAGUACGAGAGGACCGGGAUGGACACACCGCUGGUGUACCAGUUGUUCCGCCAGGAGCAUCGCUGGGUAGCUAUGUGUGGAUGAGAUAAACGCUGAAAGCAUCUAAGUGUGAAACUCACCUCGAGAUUAGAUUUCCCAUUGCCUUCGGGCAAGUAAGACCCCUGAAAGAUGAUCAGGUAGAUAGGCUAGAAGUGGAAGUGUAGUGAUACAUGGAGCGGACUAGUACUAAUCGGUCGAGGACUUAACCAA
rnacentral:rRNA from 1 species